rnacentral:rRNA from 1 species
AAUCAACGCUGGCGGCGUGCCUCAGACAUGCAAGUCGAACGAUUAAGACUCUCUUCGGAGAGUGUAUAGAGUGGCGCACGGGUGAGUAACACGUAGGUAAUGUACCGAAGGGUGGGGAAUAACUUAGGGAAACUUAAGCUAAUACCGCAUAAUGCAGCGGCUCGACAUCGAGACAGUUGUUAAAGGAGCAAUCCGCCUUUUGAGCAGCCUGCGGCAGAUUAGCUAGUUGGUAAGGUAAUGGCUUACCAAGGCUACGAUCUGUAACCGACCUGAGAGGGUGGUCGGUCACACUGACACUGAAUAACGGGUCAGACUCCUACGGGAGGCAGCAGUCGGGAAUUUUGGGCAAUGGGCGAAAGCCUGACCCAGCAACGCCGCGUGAAGGAUGAAGUAUUUCGGUAUGUAAACUUCGUAAGAAUAGGAAGAAUAAAUGACGGUACUAUUUGUAAGGUCCGGCUAACUACGUGCCAGCAGCCGCGGUAAU